UGGGUGCAUGAUCUAGGGGGUGGAUUAUAAAGAUAUAUAUAAAAAUGGAUGAGAGUAUGUAGGUAUAUAUAAAUAGGAAAUUCAUUUAGUUAAAUUAUAUAUUAAAGGUAGGAGUAGGAAGAUACAAAUACUUAUAUAAGUUGAUAGUCCAUUUCGAACCACACUCCAUACCAGUAGGUGGCGGUAAUGCUGCUUAAAGUUUGUUGCCAACCGCCAAUAAAAUCAAGAAGAAGAAGAAGAAGAAGAAGAAGAAGAAGAAGAAGAAGGAAAGCACAUUCGAGGCAGAGGAUUCCUGUAAAGGUAUGGCUAUCAUUGAGCGUGAGAUUGCUGCAGAAUGAUUUGGUUAAUCCCUCCUUUUGAUUAUUUUAGGCAACCCUUUUUGUAGGCAAACACAAAGAACCGUGGACUGGUUUUUCCAGACUAGAGAUUUUACAUUGAGAUCUGAACAUUAACUUACCUGCCCGGAUGCUGGGAAUCAGGAGAACACCAAGAAGUGUAAAGCACAUUUUUAUAUGUCUUCUGGCCCCAUCGUCUGCCAUUAUGUCUGUGAUGUACAAUGCCAAAGGAGCCUAAAAAAAUAGAAAAUUAAGUGAGACAUUGAGCUCUAAAUAUCUGCCUUGUGUACAGAUAAUGAAUGAAUGCCCUUAAAAAGAGACAAUAUUCAACAAUAUUGAAUUGUUAAAAUUGUUAAAUACUGGAAUAUGUUGAUUGAUUUUACUUUUCUGUCACUGUUAACAAAAUGAAAAAUACAUCAAACAGUACCUAAGUACUUUUCAUUCAGUUCUUUUUCACCAAAUAAUUAACUGGAUGAGUAUUUUCACUUGAGUAAUAUUGUUUCGAAGUUACACCACUCUAACACAAAGAAAAUUGACCCUUCAGCAAAUGUGGUUUGUUCAGUCCCAAGUCAUUUAUUCUGUUAUGUAUGCCUUGUUAUUUGAAAUAAAUACCUUUAUGGGUAA